AACGAACGCUGGCGGCAUGCCUAACACAUGCAAGUCGAACGACACCAUCGGGUCUAGUGGCGCACGGGUGCGUCACGCGUGGGAAGCUUCCCUUAGGUUCCGAAUACCUCUCCGAAAGGGGUGCUAAUACCGGAUAAUGUCUUCUGACCAAAGAUUUAUCGCGCUAGGAUGGGCGCGCGUUGGAUUAGCUAGGUGGUAGUGUAAAAGCCUAGCAAGGCGACGAUACAUAGCUGGUCAGAGAGGAUGAGCAGCGACACUGGGAGUGAGAAGCGGCCGGGACUCUUACGGGAGGGAGGAGUGGGGAAUAUUGGAAAAUGGGCGAAAGGAUGAUGGAGCUAUGCCGCGUGAGUGAUGAAGGUCGUAGGGAAGAAAAGCUCUUUUACCCGGGAUGAUAAUGACGGUACCGAGAGAAUAAGCACCGGCUAACUCCGUG
rnacentral:rRNA from 1 species